rnacentral:misc_RNA from 1 species
AAAUUGUAAACGAAAAAUAGCAGUAGUCUUAUACAAAAUCAGUCUAGAGAGCACCUGUCGUUGGAAAUGGUGUCUGAUCCAUAAGAUGAAAAACACUAUUUUUAGCUUAAAGUGAAUAAAAAAUGAGGUUACUUGUCGAUUGAUGCGUAACGAAUUAAGGUGGCACCACGAUUCUCGUCCUUUUC